GAUGAACGCUGGCGGCGUGCCUAAUACAUGCAAGUCGAGCGAACAGACGAGGAGCUUGCUCCUCUGACGUUAGCGGCGGACGGGUGAGUAACACGUGGAUAACCUACCUAUAAGACUGGGAUAACUUCGGGAAACCGGAUCUAAUACCGAAUAAUAUAUUGAACCGCAUGGUUCAAUAGUGCAAGACGGUCUUGCUGUCACUUAUAGAUGGAUCCGCGCAGCAGUAGCUAGUUGGUAAGGUAACGGCUUACCAAGGCAACGAUGCAUAGCCGACCUGAGAGGGUGAUCGGCCACACUGGAACUGAGACACGGUCCAGACUACUACGGGAGGCAGCAGUAGGGAAUCUUCCGCAAUGGGCGAAAGCCUGACGGAGCAACGCCGCGUGAGUGAUGAAGGUCUUCGGAUCGUAAAACUCUGUUAUGAGGGAAGAACAAAUGUGUAAGUAACUAUGCACGUCUUGACGGUACCUAAUCAGAAAGCCACGGCUAACUACGUG
rnacentral:rRNA from 1 species